rnacentral:rRNA from 1 species
GACGAACGCUGGCGGCGUGCUUAACACAUGCAAGUCGAACGGAAAGGCCCUGCUUUUGUGGGGUGCUCGAGUGGCGAACGGGUGAGUAACACGUGAGUAACCUGCCCUUGACUUUGGGAUAACUUCAGGAAACUGGGGCUAAUACCGGAUAGGAGCUCCUGCUGCAUGGUGGGGGUUGGAAAGUUUCGGCGGUUGGGGAUGGACUCGCGGCUUAUCAGCUUGUUGGUGGGGUAGUGGCUUACCAAGGCUUUGACGGGUAGCCGGCCUGAGAGGGUGACCGGCCACAUUGGGACGGAGAUACGGCCCAGACUCCUACGGGAGGCAGCAGUGGGGAAUAUUGCACAAUGGGGGAAGCCUGAUGCAGCAACGCCGCGUGCGGGAUGACGGCCUUCGGGUUGUAAACCGCUUUCGCCUGUGACGAAGCGUGAGUGACGGUAAUGGGUAAAGAAGCACCGGCUAACUACGUG